AGGGUUCGAUUCUGGCUCAGGAUGAACGCUGGCGGCGUGCCUAAUACAUGCAAGUCGAACGCGAGACGAGGGAGCUUGCUCCCUCCGAUCGAGUGGCGGACGGGUGAGUAACACGUAGGCAACCUGCCCAUCAGCCGGGGAUAACUGCGGGAAACCGUGGCUAAUACCGGAUAAACCUUUCCUCCGCGGGGAGGGGAGUUGAAAGACGGUUUCGGCUGUCGCUGAUGGAUGGGCCUGCGGCGCAUUAGCUGGUUGGUGGGGUAACGGCCCACCAAGGCGACGAUGCGUAGCCGACCUGAGAGGGUGAUCGGCCACACUGGGACUGAGACACGGCCCAGACUCCUACGGGAGGCAGCAGUAGGGAAUCUUCCGCAAUGGACGCAAGUCUGACGGAGCAACGCCGCGUGAGUGAAGUAAGGGUUUCGGCUACGUAAAACUCUGUUGUUAAGGAGGAAUGACAGGUAGAGUAACUGCUACCUGUGUGACGGUACUUAACCAAGAAAGCCACGGCUAACUACGUGCCAGCCGCCGC
rnacentral:rRNA from 1 species